UACGGAGGGUGCAAGCGUUGUCCGGAUUUAUUGGGUUUAAAGGGUGCGUAGGCGGCUUUUUUAAGUCAGCGGUGAAAGACAACAGCUCAACUGUUGCAGUGCCAUUGAUACUGAAGAGCUUGAGUACAGAUGAGGUAGGCGGAAUUUAUGGUGUAGCGGUGAAAUGCAUAGAUACCAUAAAGAACACCUAUUGCGAAGGCAGCUUACUAAGCUGUAACUGACGCUGAGGCACGAAAAGCGUGGGGAUCAAACAGG
rnacentral:rRNA from 1 species